CCUACGGGAGGCAGCAGUGAGGAAUAUUGGUCAAUGGGCGCGAGCCUGAACCAGCCAAGUAGCGUGAAGGAUGACUGCCCUACGGGUUGUAAACUUCUUUUAUAAAGGAAUAAAGUGAGGCACGUGUGCCUUUUUGUAUGUACUUUAUGAAUAAGGAUCGGCUAACUCCGUGCCAGCAGCCGCGGUAAUAAGGAGGAUCCGAGCGUUAUCCGGAUUUAUUGGGUUUAAAGGGAGCGUAGAUGGGUUGUUAAGUCAGUUGUGAAAGUUUGCGGCUCAACCGUAAAAUUGCAAUUGAUACUGGCAGUCUUGAGUACAGGUGAGGUAGGCGGAAUUCGUGGUGUAGCGGUGAAAUGCUUAGAUAUCACGAAGAACUCCGAUUGCGAAGGCAGCCUACUAACCUGCCACUGACAUUGAUGCUCGAAAGUGUGGGUAUCAAACAGGAUUAGAUACCCCAGUAGUC
rnacentral:rRNA from 1 species